rnacentral:lncRNA from 1 species
CGGCCAUGAAAGGCAUUGCUGCUGCUCAAUCAGAGGAGGCGAGGAAGGCGGCAAUCGAGCAAGUGGCUGAAGGGCUGGCGCUAUUGGAGGAUGCCUUUCAGAAGACUAGCAAAGGGAAGGACUUCUUCAGUGGAGACAAAAUUGGGUACCUUGACAUUGCAUUUGGGUGCUUCUUGGGGUGGCUCAGAGUGACAGAGAAGAUGAAUGGGAUCAAAUUGCUGGACGAAACAAAGACACCAGGGCUGGCCAAAUGGGCUCACAAGUUUUGUGCAGAUGCUGCUGUGAAGGAUGUUAUGCCUGAGACUGAGAAGCUUGCCGAGGUUGCUAAGAUUAUUACGGCCAAAUUGAGAGGUGCAGGUGCUCCCCCGAAAUAAUGAAUAUUCUAAUUAUCAUCUUGUGUGACUCGGUGAUUAAUUAGUCGGAUAUGUUAGGCAAUAUGCUAUAGACUCAUAGACUCUGGUCUAUUUUGUUUUAUGUUCGUCUUUUUAUGUGCAUCAUGUAAUGUGAUGCAAAAUAAAUCAUGACCUACUUCAGCAGUUCUCGUUUUAAAAUUUUAUUAAUUUUAAUAAAUGUUGCUAAACGAACCUUAAAAUUAACUGAGUACACCCUAUAAUCUAAGUACACCCUAAUAUUUUAAUAAAAAUGUAAAAUUAAAUAAGUACACCCUAUAAAACUACCAAAAAUAUCCCUGAUACACCCUAAUACUUGUAGCAUUAUUUUAUAGUUGAUUUUCAGCUUGAUUUUUUUAAGAAUAUUUAUAAAUCUUUUUGACUUUUUAUAUGGAUUUAUGCUUCUAUUAAAACUGUUGACACUUUUUUUGCAAUUCCAAUUUCUUGCAAUCACCACAUCUUUCGUUAAAAACACAAAUAGGACAAGCAAUCUCUUGAUUAUGGUUGAAUAUAGUUAGUAGGGUGUACUUAUUAAAAUUAUAUUUGUUUCACAAUUCCAUAUAUCCUUUUUGGUCAUUUUAUAUUAGGGUAAAUCAGUAAUUCAAUAUAUACUUUUAUAGUAUGAUGUACUCAGUUAAUUUUAGAGUUCGUUUAGCGGCACUCAUUUUAAUUGAUCACAUCACAUAGAGAACACUUUUUGCAUUGCAUAUCAAGUGUAAUUUUGUUUUUAUCUUUUGGUUUUUUUUUUUUUGGGUAAACAAGGAGAAAAAUUACCUAAAUCAAGAAUUAAUACCACAGUGAACAAUUAAUUUGGACUACGUUACAGGAAUUCUCCAUACUAAAUUAGUAAAAUGUUUAACAAAUUUAAGUGAACUUUGUAAAGGUUACACAACAUAUACUACUAUAAUUAAUGGAUUUUGUCACACAGGAAAGAUGGCAGAAGCAGAUGGCCAGUUUGGGGCUUAGCCCAAACUUUGUCGCUUAUACGGCACUUAGGCGCUGGACGCCUCCUUUUUUAUAUAUAAAUAGUAUAAUUCGAGAAAUUUCGCCGGCUAGAUCUGUGCCGACGAACUUUCGUCGGGAGAGGUUUUCCCUUUUUUGUUGUUGUUAGUUUUAAAAAUAUAUAAUUAGUUUCUUUACUUUUGUUUUUUGGCCUACUUCUUAAAUUUAAUAUAUGUCAUUAAGUAAUAUCUUAGCCUUUUUGAAUUACUUUAAUUAGUAAUUAUAUUUUAAUUAUGAUUUAAUAUAUAAAAAUUAAAGAAAAGGUUCAUAAAAUAAUUAAUUUCUAUUUAUUAAGUCUGCUGUGAAAUCGUUUCGAUGUCUUAAUUAAAUUUCUCUAUAGCCCAAGAGCCUCAUCCAUUACUAUUAGGCCAUUACUCGAGUAUCUAUUGUCCCCUUUUUUAUUUUUUUUUCUUUUUCGGAGUCAUUGUCCGUAUAAAGAUUUUAGCACUUUCAUAUUUAAUAAUUUAUUAUACACGUACGCACGUAUUUCUCAUGUUAAAACAUGUAAUUUUUACAAAAAUUUCAAUAAGACACGCACAAUUUACAUAUUAGACACCUAAUUCUCACAUAUUAUUGAAUUAAAAUAAAAUAUAUUUAUUUAUAAAAAAAAGGGCAAUACUCAGUUUUUUCCUAAUUAUUUUUUAAAAAUAGUGUAGUUGUGUGGUGAUACACGUUUUUUCAAAUUUAUUUUUUAAAAAAAAUAGUAUAGCCGCACGGCUUUACUUGUUUGACAGUUGUGUGAGGGUCUUUAUAUAUAUAUAUAUAUAUAUAUAUAUAUAUAUAUAUCGUCUAGCCGUACUGCGAUACUAUAUUUUUUUUUAAAUUUUUUAAGAAAUAGUAUAGCCACCCGGCUUUACGCCUUUGACACGUCGCACUUAGGCGCUGGACACCUCUUUUUUUAUAUAUAAAUAGUAUAGCCGUAAAUUUAAUCCAAAAAUUUCACCGGCAUAGUCCUGUGCUGACGAACUUUCGCCGAGAGUGGUUUUUUUUUUUUUAAAUUAAUAAAUUUUAAAAAUAUAAAAAUAGUUUCUUUGCUUUUGUUUUUUGGCCAACUUCUUUAAUUUAAUAUAUAUUAUUAAGUUAUAUCUUAGCCUUUUUGAAUUACUUUAAAUAGUAAUUAUAUUUUACUUAUUAUUUAAUAUAAAAAAUUAAAAAAAAAGUCCACAAAAUAAUUAAUUUCUAUUUAUUAAGUCUUUUGUGAAAUCAUUUGUGUGUCUUAAUUAAAUUUCUAUAUAGCCCAAUAGCCCUAUUCAUUACUAUUAGGACAUUACUCAAAUAUCUAUUGUCCCUUUUUUAUUUUUUUACUUUUUCAGAGUUAUUACAGGUAUAAAGAUUUUAGCACUAUCAUGUUUAAUAAUGUAUUAUACACAUAUGCAUGUACUUGUCAUGUUUAACACACAUAUUUUUUUACAAAUAUUUCAAUAAGACACGCAAAAUUCACGUAUUAUACACCUAAUUUUCACAUAUUAUUCAAUAAAAAUAAUAUAUAUUAAAGAAAUGAUAUAGCCGCACGGCUAUACGCAGUUUUUCCUAAUUGUUUUUAAAAAAUAGUAUAGCCGUUCGGAUAUACACAGUUUUUAAAUUUUUUUUAAAAAAAAAUAGUACAGCCUUGCGGCUUUACUUGUUUGACACGUGGCGCCCAGGCGUUGGGUGGAUCUAUAUAUAUAUAUAUAUAUAUAUAUAUACAAAUAGUAUGGCCGCCGGCUAUAAUAGAUUUUUUUAAACAAAUUUAAGAUAUAGUAUAGCCGGUCGGCUAUACCAGUUUUUCCUAAUUUUUUUUUUAAAAAUAGUAUAGCCGCCCGGCUUUAUGCUUUAGACACGUGGCACCUAAGCUCUGGACGUGCCCUUUUUUAAUAUAUAAAUAUUAUAGCCAGGCGGCUAGACUAAUUUAAAAGAAAAUUUAAUCCGAAAAUUUUGCCGACAUAGAUGCGUCUGACAAACUUUCGUUGGGAGAGGUUUUUUAAUUUUUUAAUUUUAAAAAUAUAAAAUUAGUUUCUUUACUUCGGUUUUUUUGGCCUUCUUCUUUAAUUUAAUAUAUGUAACUAAGUAAUAUCUUAGCCUUUUAAAAUUACUUUAAUUAGUAAUUAUAUUUUAAUUGUUAUUUAAUAUAAAAAUUAAAUAAAAAUCCACAAAAUAAUUAAUUUUUAUUUAUUAAGUCUUUUGUGAAAUCGUUUGGGUAUCUUAAUUAAAUUUCUCUGUAGCCCAAGAACCCUAUCCAUUACUAUUAGGCCAUUACUCGAUUAUCUAUUGGUCAAUUUUUUACUUUUCCGAAGUUAUUAUCCGUAUAAAGAUUUUAGCAAUUUCACGUUUAAUAAUAUAUUACACACGUACGCACGUAUUUCUCAUGUUUAAUACACAUAUUUUUUUUUACAAAGAUUUCAAUAAGACACACAAAAUUCACGUAUUAUACACCUAAUUCUCAGUUUUUUAUAAUUGUUUUUAAAUCGUUUUUUAAAUUAUUUUUAAAAAUAGUAUAGCCGCACGGUUUUACUUGUUUGACAUGUGGCGCUGGGCAGGUCUUUUUAUAUAUAAACUAAUUUUAUAUUUUUAAAAUUUUUUUAAAAAAAAAAAAAAUCUCUCCUAACAACGUUGGCACAUGGACUAUGUUGGCGAAAUUUCCCGAAUUAAAAUUUCUUUUUAAAAACCGGGUGGUUAUACUAUUUAUAUAACUGGCUGUGGCUUUUGUAAACGAGGGGAGGUAGACAUCGCAAAUGAGCAUCUUCAAGAGAUGUGCAGGAAGGGCCCUUCAACUUUAUGUCGUCUUCACUUACAACUCAAUUGUAAAUGGCCUUUGUAAAUCAGGAAAUAUAGCUCAGGCUGAAAAAUUGAUGGAAGAAAUGCAGGUUGCUGGUCCUCUGACACUAGUUGUGAUCUAUUUAUUCAUUGGUCAAUAUGGACAUGUAACUAGCAUAUAUGUAUUAUGUAUACUGAAUCCAACCGAGAUCUGUUUGCUGCAGUUCGUCGGGCAGGGGAACUUAGUCUGCCUGUGGUAACUAAUAACUAUUGAUUGAAACUUGCUAUUUCCCACGAGAUAUGCAAAUGCCUGGUUGUGAUUUAACCGUUUUGCAAUGUCCUGGUCUUGGAUUUUUGAUAAUAAAUUGCAUGUGUUCAUGUUUCUAGUGUUCUGGUUGACGACGAUGGAAUCUUCUAGUUGCACCUUGGUUGACAAAAUCAAACUUAUCGGAUGUUGUAACAUAAAAAAUCAGGUUACAAAAUCAGACUCAUCACCUUUUUAGAUUUUUAACUUUUUUCAAUAAUGAUUUGGUGCUUCAGUAACUUGUCAAUAAUUUGACUAUUAAUACGGAAAUGCCACAAGGUUUUAAAGGUGUCAAACGGCCCGGGCCGUGUGUUUGAAAUCAGUCCAUUUAAUAAACGGGCUGCGUAGGGUCCGUUCAUUUAUGAAAAUCAUCAAUCCUGUCUCUGGCCCAUGCUCGUACUAUAGGCCACUAAACGGGCCGAAAUGGGUCCAUGUCAAAUUUGACUUAUGUAUUACAAGGGUUUAGGGUAAAUUUUUUUUUACAACUUCAUUUAAAUCUUUUUACAAUCAUAUAUAUACUAACAAGAUUUAUUAUUUGUUGAAAAAAGAGACCAAUAAUUUUAUUUAAAGCAUAUUUAAAUAGAAAAUGACUAAAUUGUUUGGACUUUAAAAAUUGAAACUUGAAAAAUAAAAUUAUUAUUUUAUGUAUAAAGAAAAUAUUAAAUUUUAAUCUAUAUAUAUAAAGCAAAGGGUAGAGAAUGGUGAAACAUUCAAAAUAUUAGAAAAUUCCCUUGGUUAAUGCAAAAAUUUAGAAUUGAAAUUAUUAUUCAUUAAAUGAGGAUAAGAUGAUAAAUUCACACUUUUUUAUAUUUUAAAAAAUAAAAAUAUAUAUAUAUAAUGGAUUCCUAUUUUUAUGGAACACAACUACCCAUUAUUUUUUUUAAGGAAAAUGCUAGGGANNNNNNNNNNNNNNNNNNNNNNNNNNNNNNNNNNNNNNNNNNNNNNNNNNNNNNNNNNNNNNNNNNNNNNNNNNNNNNNNNNNNNNNNNNNNNNNNNNNNAUGGUUGGGGUGACCAACCUUCGAUAUCAACUUGGGUACCAAAUCUCUAAUUGUGUGUGAGAACCUUUGUAUUGGUGGGCUCCACCUCUAUUAGAGAGUUGGUACACAAGUUGGUAUCUAAAGUUGGUCUCCCUAGCAUCACCCUUUUUUUAAUUCAAAAAAAAAAAAUGGCACACGUUGGGCUAAUAUAUAUUAUUAUAGAAAAAAAAAUAGACUUGAAUUUAAGAUAUAAAUGUGAUAAUAUUAUUAUUUUUUUCUAAAAUAAAUGUAAUUUACUAAUGGGCUUUAAAUAGGCCAGCCCGUUGGGUUUCAACCCAGCUUUGGGCCUAAUUGAUAUUAAUUAUAUGCAUUUGAGUGGGCAAUCAAUUUUUACUAUAUUUAAAUAUAAUUAUGUGCAUGUGAGAAUUGGGUAAUUUGGCUAUUAUUCUCGUUUGAUGUUAUCAAUAGAUGAAUGAACCCCUAAUCUUAUUUCAUCAACUAUGAAUUAUGAAAUUGUUCAUUAUGAGGGUCUAAUUGCAAUAUUUAUUUCAUUUUCCUGGGCCUUUAUUUUCUAUUUUGAGCUAGCAUAACUAAAUGUGCACUACAUCAUACCAAUAACAUGUUUUUUUUUUCUUCGAAGUCAAAAGAAUAAAAUGUUCUUCUUAGUGCUCAUAAUGCUCAAGCUUCUUUGUUAAAACCAUGGUCCCCCUAAAUUAAGUUUGGAAAAAUUCAAUCUUUGGUCUAAGCUUAUGUGAGUUUUAGUCGCUGUAAAUAUGAAUUUUCACAUCAAAUUUCACUUUACUUUGGCCGGGUGCAGCUGUCUUGGCAGAGUUGGAGUGUCAAGUGUAUGAGCAGAGAAGAAGAUAGAAAUAGAGGAGCGCUUGCAUCCCAGAAAUUCAACAACUGAAGCUUAUUUGGGGCAUUGCCAGGAAAAAUAUUGCAAUAGAACCGCUUCAAGGGCCAACUUAAGGAAGACCAAUAGCAAUAGCCAGCCACCGAUGAGUGGUUCUUGUUUGACUGAAUCAAUAGAAAGUUUAUGCAUAUCAGCUACUUGGAUCAGAAUGAAACAAACGACGCAAACAUAUAAAAUUGCAAUAGAACCGCUUCAAGGGCCAACUUAAGACCAAGAGCCAGCCACCGAUGAGUUAUGCUUAAAUAUUAGCAUCUAUAUCUUCAUUUAAUGAGAUUGAUAACUUUUGUAGAGUGUCAGCUGACUCGCACCAACCACAAGCACGACACAGUAUGUAUUUUUAUUAAUUCACUUAUUAAAAUAUGAAUAGAAAAUAAGGUCAUAAAUAAAUUUACGUGUUAUAAAUUGAUAACAUUGCGUGACGAGUAUACAUUGAUAUUGAGUUUGAUGUGUCACGGUUCUCAUGCUUGUGAGACCAAGUGAUAGAAGCUGUAUGAACUGAACUUAAAAAUGGAACUUUGAUUGUAUAUUGAUUGUGAAUUGGUAAAUGAGACAUGUUGGUUUUGGAUGACUCAUUCGCUUAUCAGUCUGUUGCAUUUUCUUGUAGUGGUUUCCGUCCAUGAGAGGCAUUGCUGCUCCUCAGGGAGAGGAGGCGAAGAAGGCGGCAAUCAAGCAAGUGGCCCGGUGCUGUUGGAGGAAGCGUUUGAGAAGACUAGCAAAGGAAAGGACUUUUUCAGUGGAGACAAAAUUGGGUAUCUUGACAUUGCAUUUGGGUGCUUCUUGGGGUGGCUAAGAGUGACAGAGAAGAUGAAUGGCGUCAAACUGCUGGACGAAACAAAGACACCAGGGCUGCCCAAAGUUUGAUGGUUGUUGUCUGUCAUGGAACAGAUCCAAACUUCACUACAAACGUUCUGUAAAUCUAAAUAAAAAAGAAAACAAUAAGGAAAACUUACCUACAUCAAGAAUAUCACAAUGAACAAUUAAUUUGAAGUAGAUUACAGUGGUAUUCCUUUACAUGAAAGUUAUUCUGAAAAACAAGGCCUCCAAUGAAUUUUCCAUGCUAAAAUGUUAACAAAUUUAAGUGAACUUUGUAAAGGUUACUUUCGACUUUGGACAAUGUUAAGAGUCAAAAAAUAUGAAUUGACUUAAUACUUUAAUUUUGCGGCCUACCCUUCAAACAUGCAUCCACCAGUGCACCUAACUAUGUCGUUACACGCAUUGACACCAAACUCACCACAGCCACUUUUCUAAUCCAUACUUACUUAACAAUCCAUGGUUGUUUCUCUUGUUUAAUUCAUCCCACCACGCUCACUAAACACAAAAACUCAGUGUUCGAUUAAAAGCUUCGAGUGUGAGUUGUGAGAGAUCGAUCGAUCAUCAUGGCCAUCACCAAGAGCGACGUGAAGGUCCUGGGAAUGUGGCCGAGCCCAUUUGUGAUGAGGGCUCGCAUCUCUCUUAACCUCAAAUCUGUCGACUACGAGUUUCUUCAAGAGACAUUUGGAUCGAAAAGCCAGCUUCUCCUCCAAUCCAAUCCAGUCCAUAAGAAAGUCCCGGUUCUCAUUCACGGUGACAAACCCAUAUGUGAAUCUCUUGUCAUUGUUGAGUACAUUGAUGAGGUUUGGGCCUCCGGCCCAUCUAUCCUCCCUUCCGACCCUUAUGAUCGCGCCACGGCACGAUUUUGGGCUGCCUAUGUCAGUGAGAAGGUAAAUUAGCUAUUCUAUAGGAAGCACUUGUACUUAUUAGCGUUUUGAAAAAAAAUAUUGUUACAAUGGUUUUUACUAAUUAAUGUUUCUUGGUUUAAAUGUGGGUGGCAGUGGUACCCAUCAUUGAAAGGCAUAGGUGCAGCUCAAGAAGAGGAGGCAAAGAAGGCAGCAGUGGAGCAAGUGGAAGAAGGGCUGGCCUUGCUGGAGGAAGCAUAUGAAAAGUCCAGCAAAGGAAAGGACUUUUUUGGUGGAGAUGAGAUUGGGUACCUUGACAUUGCGUUUGGGUGCUUCUUGGGGUGGCUCAGAGUCAUAGAGAAACUGAAUGGGGUCAAGCUGCUGGACCAAACAAAGACACCAGGGCUGGUCAAUUGGGCUGACAAAUUUUGUGCACAUAGUGCUGUGAAAGAUGUCAUGCCUG